rnacentral:rRNA from 1 species
AUUGAACGCUGGCGGCAUGCCUUACACAUGCAAGUCGAACGGCAGCACGGGUGCUUGCACCUGGUGGCGAGUGGCGAACGGGUGAGUAAUACAUCGGAACAUGUCCCGUAGUGGGGGAUAGCCCGGCGAAAGCCGGAUUAAUACCGCAUACGAUCCACGGAUGAAAGCGGGAGACCUUCGGGCCUCGCGCUAUAGGGUUGGCCGAUGGCUGAUUAGCUAGUUGGUGGGGUAAAGGCCUACCAAGGCGACGAUCAGUAGCUGGUCUGAGAGGACGACCAGCCACACUGGGACUGAGACACGGCCCAGACUCCUACGGGAGGCAGCAGUGGGGAAUUUUGGACAAUGGGCGAAAGCCUGAUCCAGCAAUGCCGCGUGUGUGAAGAAGGCCUUCGGGUUGUAAAGCACUUUUGUCCGGAAAGAAAUCCUUGGCUCUAAUACAGUCGGGGGAUGACGGUACCGGAAGAAUAAGCACCGGCUAACUACGUG